rnacentral:rRNA from 1 species
AACGAACGCUGGCGGCAUGCCUAACACAUGCAAGUCGAACGAGACCUUCGGGUCUAGCGGCGCACGGGUGCGUAACGCGUGGGAAUCUGCCCCUGGGUUCGGAACAACAGUUGGAAACGACUGCUAAUACCGGAUGAUGACUUCGGUCCAAAGAUUUAUCGCCCAGGGAUGAGCCCGCGUCGGAUUAGCUAGUUGGUGAGGUAAAAGCUCACCAAGGCGACGAUCCGUAGCUGGUCUGAGAGGAUGACCAGCCACACUGGGACUGAGACACGGCCCAGACUCCUACGGGAGGCAGCAGUGGGGAAUAUUGGACAAUGGGCGAAAGCCUGAUCCAGCAAUGCCGCGUGAGUGAUGAAGGCCUUAGGGUUGUAAAGCUCUUUUACCCGGGAAGAUAAUGACUGUACCGGGAGAAUAAGCCCCGGCUAACUCCGUGCCAGCCGCCGCCGUAACAC